rnacentral:misc_RNA from 1 species
UGGUGUCUGCACAACCGAGACUACCAAAAUUCUUAAGUAUCGUGAAGGUUCUGCUUCUCAAAGUAACUUUAAAAUUGAAAGGGAAGAGGGCGAGUUGUCACCAAAUGGAGACUUUGAAGAGGACAACUUUGUGAGUUUCCAAGAUGCUUCUGUUGAUGUGACACAGAAAGUAAACGAUAAAUCUACCAGCAGACAUUAUCAAAACAGACGGGGAGAAGUGGAGGCCUCUUGUGGUGAAGUAGCAGGUGAAAAUGAUGCUGAUGCAGAUGAUGAAGGUGAGGAAAGCGCUCAAAGAUCUACAGAGGACAGUGAAAAUGCCUCGGAGGCUGGUGGAGAUGUUUCAGGCAGCGAAUCUGGUGAUGGCGAGGAUUGCUCUCGUGAAGAUCACGAGGAGGAAGAGGAAGAUGCAGAUAACGAUGAUCAGGA